rnacentral:snoRNA from 1 species
UUUUCUUCUUCUUUGUGCGGCAGCCUAAGCUAUAUCCGUGUUGCUUGUCUGUUCUAUUAAUCCCUACGAGUUGGCGAGCGUCAAGUUUCAGGCGAGAGUAAAUACUUAACACAACCGGUCAUCUUAGUGCCCUUUCAUUGAAAACUACAACUUUACGUAUUUAAUGAGGGCCGGUAGACCAUACAUUU